AUUGAACGCUGGCGGCAUGCCUUACACAUGCAAGUCGAACGGUAACGCGGGGCAACCUGGCGACGAGUGGCGAACGGGUGAGUAAUAUAUCGGAACGUGCCCAGUAGUGGGGGAUAGCCCGGCGAAAGCCGGAUUAAUACCGCAUGAGACCUGAGGGUGAAAGCGGGGGAUCGCAAGACCUCGCGCUAUUGGAGCGGCCGAUAUCAGAUUAGGUAGUUGGUGGGGUAAAGGCCUACCAAGCCUGCGAUCUGUAGCUGGUCUGAGAGGAUGGCCAGCCACACUGGGACUGAGACACGGCCCAGACUCCUACGGAAGGCAGCAGUGGGGAAUUUUGGACAAUGGGCGCAAGCCUGAUCCAGCCAUGCCGCGUGCGGGAAGAAGGCCUUCGGGUUGUAAACCGCUUUUGUCAGGGAAGAAAUCUUCUGGGUUAAUACCUCGGGAGGAUGACGGUACCUGAAGAAUAAGCACCGGCUAACUACGUGCCAGCCGCCGCAGUAAGAC
rnacentral:rRNA from 1 species